rnacentral:sRNA from 1 species
UAAAAAUCACACGAACCAAUCGAACAAAAACCAUUAACCUCAAUUUAAUUCGAUUAGAGUACACGUUUAAGUUGCUGCAAUUAAGUAACAUAUACCAACCCAAUUACCCUACACACCGACACACAUAGACAUUUUAAAUGCAAUUAAGAGUUUUUCCGCUUCUUCUUUUGCUUAAAUUAAAAGAAACGAUAAACACGUGAAUGAAUACUUAACACACACAAAUGUGUAUAUUUGAAUGACUCUUCAAAUGGGUGACUAUUUUGAAGUGAGCGACGUGAGAAACUCAAAGGAUCCUGGCAUAACACAAGAAAUUUGAUUGUCGUAUAGAUUCCUGAAAGUAGUGCAUAAUGUAUUCAUCAAUAUGGACGUAAUUGGACUAAUUGGGUCCUGUAUGUGCGAGGCACCCUCAAAAGCGUUCGCUUCGAUACCAACAAUCUGAUUACGCCUUAUAUCCAAUUUAACUAAAUGUGGC